GAUAAACGCUGGCGGCGCACAUAAGACAUGCAAGUCGAACGGACUUAACCUAAAAGUUUACUUUUUGGAGCGGUUAGUGGCGGACUGGUGAGUAACAUGUAAGCAAUCUGCCUAUCAGAGGGGAAUAACAGUGAGAAAUCAUUGCUAAUACCGCAUGAUGCAUGAUCAGGGCAUCCUGGACAUGCCAAAGAUUUAUCGCUGAAAGAUGGCCUCGCGUCUGAUUAGCUAGUUGGUGAGGUAACGGCCCACCAAGGCGACGAUCAGUAGCCGGACUGAGAGGUUGACCGGCCACAUUGGGACUGAGAUACGGCCCAG
rnacentral:rRNA from 1 species